GACGAACGCUGGCGGCGUGCCUAAUACAUGCAAGUCGAGCGAACAGACGAGGAGCUUGCUCCUCUGACGUUAGCGGCGGACGGGUGAGUAACACGUGGAUAACCUACCUAUAAGACUGGGAUAACUUCGGGAAACCGGAGCUAAUACCGGAUAAUAUAUUGAACCGCAUGGUUCAAUAGAGAAAGACGGUUUUGCUGUCACUUAUAGAUGGAUCCGCGCCGCAUUAGCUAGUUGGUAAGGUAACGGCUUACCAAGGCAACGAUGCGUAGCCGACCUGAGAGGGUGAUCGGCCACACUGGAACUGAGACACGGUCCAGACUCCUACGGGAGGCAGCAGUAGAGAAUCUUACGCAAUGGGCGAGAGCCUGACGGAGCAACGCCGCGUGAGUGAUGAAGGUCUUCGGAUCGUAAAGCUCUGUUAUUAGGAAAGAACAAAUGUGUAAGUAACUAGGCAGGUCUUGACGGUACCUAAUCAGAAAGCCACGGCUAACUACGUG
rnacentral:rRNA from 1 species